AUGUUUUCUUUGUAUGUUCUUUGCUGUAGGUACGAGGAUCCUGACAAGUGCCUGAUUCUCUAUGGUGAUGACCAGGGAUGUGUGAACAUUCUGUUUUUGGCUUCUGUCGGUGAACUAUUAAGAACUUGGAAGAAGCUGCCCACAGUUGAGAACAUGCCAAACAUUAGCAUUAAUAAUGCUGUGAAUUCUCCAAAUGUGAAUUACAUCCGCUGGAAAGUGCACGGAGACUGGGUUACUCAGCUGAACUACUACGAUUCUAUCAAUGCCGUUAUCUCAAGCUCCAAUCAUGAGCCCACUGCUCUAGUCAUAGGUACUGCUUACAUACACUUCUCUCAGGUUCACCGUGUGUGUGUGUGUGUGUGUGUGUGUGUGUGUGUGUGUGUGUGUGUGUGUGUCAGAUCCUUGGCUGUCUCCCACCUUUAGAAUCUUUGCAUUGCCACAGGCAUCCCACACUUUGAUAAUAACUCCCAGUGCAGCUCAAAAUGGGACAACCUCCCACUGCUGAGUUUUAUAAGCCUCACGCUAAGCUGUUGGAGAGACAGAGGGAGGGAGGCACGCCUUUCACAGGCUUUACGUGUACCAAAAACUCGAUUGAUAUUUGUUGAGGUGAAAUAAGAGCAAAAUCUGCUCCAGGCAAUCUCAGGCCAUACCAUUUGAGCAGCCCUGAUGUGCUACAUGAUAUAAAAUAUACAGCGAUAUUGACAUAAAACAGUGGUUGGGGCAUUUGUAUGAAGGGGGAUUUGGGAGUUUCUAAGAAUUCAAAAUUCAUGCUGGAUAUAACAUUUGUCAGUAAUGGCAACAGGAAGACCCAGAACCUGAAGACGUUUGGAUUUUCUAGAAGCUGAACUUGGAUCAAGUGAAUUCAGAGAAAGGCCAAGGGAGAACCCAGGUCCCAAUCCAGCCCUCCCUCUUAGAGCCCCCAGCCCCAGCAGUCUGGGCAGGGGUUUGACCAGGCUGAACCUGGGUCUUUGGCAUAGGGCAUGUGGCAGGGCAAGUCUGGGCUGUUCACUCAGAGUCAUUUUGUCUGGACCAGACUGAGGACGUAUAUCCUGGCACCAGAUGAACUCUGAAAAGUUGGCUGAACCAGGAACCAAUUCCUUUACAUUAGAUUAUCCCCUGAAUACCAGCUCAUGGUCUGAAAUAGACGCAACCUCUAACUCACCCUGGAGGAUUCCACCUAGAACACUUAGUGCCAGGCACUAUGCUAAGUUCCUGCCGUGUAUUGUGGGGGGGUUUUAAUUUUUUUUUUUUUUAACAGCCAGACCUGUGGCACAUGGAAGCUCUGGGCUACUGGUCCAAUCAGAGCUGCAGGUGCAGGCCUGUGCCACAGCCACAGCAACACGGGAUCCGAGCCACAUCUUGUGACAACACUGGAUCCUUAACCCACUGCACAAGGCCAGAGAUUGAACCUGCAUCCUCACAAACACUAUACCAGGUUCUUAACCCACUGAGCCACAAUGGGAACUCCCUUGUAUCAUUUUAUUUCAUCACCAUAAUAAUCUUAGAUUAGAUUCUACUAUUAGCUCCAUCUCACAGGUGAGUAAACUAAGGUGCAGAAUAAUUAAACCGUCCUGGGGUAUCGUUCGGGAUGUGUGUGUGUGUGUGUGUGUGUGUGUGUGUGUGUGUGUGUGUGUUGAACGAAACCCAACUCAGACUGACACAAGCGAAAAGUUGAAUUCGUUGGUUGUUUCAUAUAGCCUGAGAAGGGCAGGAAAGCAGCUCUGAGCUGGGAGCUACUAGGAGCAGGGACUCAAAUGCUGCUCCACUUCUGUUUUUCUCCCACCUGAUUCCCUCUGCACAUCGGUCCCCCCAGGUGACAGCGAGCCCAGCCUCACACAGCUUAGCCACCAACAGAGCCCAGCUGAUGCUCCUGGUCCCUCAUUCAACCACCCCUGGGAAGGUUCUCAUUGGCCAGUUUGGCCCAUCUUUGGGAAAAUCAUUAUCCAAGUGACCAAGGGAGGGCAGGGACAAAAAGAACCUGGCAGUGCCCAUUCAAACCACCUGAUUAGUGUGUGGGAGGGGGUGCUUUCCAGAGUGGGAACAGAGAGAGGGGGUUAUUAACUACAAAAGUUAAAGAAUGGCUACUGCCUGAGCCAUGCAACUUGGACCUGGAAGGCCAAGAACUUGAACUCAGGUCUGUCUCCAAAACCUGUGCUUGUAAUCGCCAGACUACAACAAUGAUGUCACUUGGGAGCCUGUUAGAAAUGCAAAGUGUUGGAGUUCCUAUUGUGGCUCAGCGGGUUACAGACCCAAUGUAGUGUGCACGACUAUACAGGUUUGAUCCCUGACCUCACUCAGUGGAUUAAGGAUUGGGCUACACCACAAACAGUGGUGUAGGUUAUAGAUGUGGCUUGGAUCCUAUGUUGCUGUGCGUGUGGCGUAGGUCUGCACCUGCAGCUCCAAUUUAGCCCUAGCCCCGGAAACUUCCAUGUGCUGCAGGUGCUGCCAUAAAAAAAAAAAAAAAGGAAAGAAAUGCAAAGUGACAGCCACCCCUUCGAUUACUGAAUCAGGCUGCCUUUGAAAAGAUCUGCGGGUACCUUGUGUACAUGUCAAGUCCAAGGGGCCUCCUUUAAUGACAAUAGUAUGUUUUUUGCUAAUUUUUCUAUCUUUUCUGUGUUAGUCUGUCUUUAUAAUUAUUUUGUAAUAACUUGCCCUUUGAAGAUCCUAAUUCUUCACACUUACUUUAUUAAACUUCACCCUGAUUUGUGAAGUUCUUGAGAGCGUGUUGGAAAGUCCCAUCCAAUUAUUCAACGUCAAUAUUAUCAUAUUUAAUUUUCAAGCUGAUGCUGGUGAUGCCUCCUUACAUGUGCUUGGUACUUACUAAUUUAUAAAGAACUUCCAUAUUCAUCAGUGGUUCUGUCUUGGCUGCCCUUAGGAAUUAUCUGGGGGACUUUAUAAAGUCUUAUUACUACCUGGGUCUUGCCCUCAGAGAUUCUGGCUUAAUUGGUUUGGGAUAAAGCCUGGGCAUUGGGACUUUUAAAAGCUCCCCCAAUGAUUCUAAUACAUGGUCAAGAUUAAAAGCACUGUUCAAGGGCUGUGACCCAAGCGUUUGUGUUUUUUUGUUUUUUGUUUUUGUUUUUGUCUUUUAGGGCCGCACUCGUAGCAUAUGGAAGUUCCCAGGCUAGGGGUUGAAUUGGAGCUAGAGCUGCCAGCCUACACCACAGCCACAGCAAUGCAGGACCUGAGCCACAUCUGUGACCUACACCACAGGUCACAGCAACACCGGAUCCUUGAGCCACUGAUGGAGGUUAGGGAUGGAACCUACACCCUCAUGGAUGCUAGUCAGAUUCGUUUCCGCUGAGCCACGAUGGAAACUCCUCUGUAUUUUUUAGACACUUCCUAGUGACUUUAAUUUGCAGCCAAGGUUGAGAACCAUUCUCAUGUAUUAUAUUAAUGAUUUGAUCUUCACGGUAUCAAGUGUACCCACUCUUAUCCUACAGGUGAGCACAUGCAAGUUCAAAGAGAUUUGCCCAUCAGGUCACUUAGCUGGAAGAAGUGGAAUUGGGACCUGACUCCAGUUUUUCUGACCUCAGUGCCCUAUUCCCUAGACCUGGGUUGGUAAGGCCCUGUCCCUCAGGCCUUGGAGUUUGUUUGGGGACAGCUUCGUUUCAAAAGGAGAUUCUGACCCUGGAGCGGAAUAAGUCUCUGAAACGUCAUCAUUCACCCUAGAGCAGCGAGAAAGCUGUAGCCGGUAGAGGGCGCCUCUGUCUUUGGGGUGGGGUCCCUGCAUGCCCAGCAGUAGCAGCAGCCGCCUGAGAAAGGACCAGUGAGGAGCCCAGACCCAGACACGCAGGUCUGCCCCCUGCCCAGUGGAAGCGGGGGAGAGAGAGGCUGGGGAGGCAGGGAUUGGAUGUUCAUCACCGAGGGGGAGUUACGACUUGGGUCUCUUCUUACAUGAGACCUUCUCCGGUAUUUCAUUCGCUGGAAUGAUCUUCACCUUUUCUGCCUCCCCCUCUCAGAGCCAUCCCUGGCCCCACUCCUGGAUUUUAAGGGCCUGCUUUCACCAAGCAUUGCAUUCGUAAGUGAAUAAAAUAUGUAACACCAUCUUCGGCA
rnacentral:lncRNA from 1 species